GUCUUCGUAGCUCAACGGAAGAGCACGGCCCUCCGAAGGCCGGGGCUGCUGGUUCGAAUCCAGCCGGGGACA
rnacentral:tRNA from 1 species